ACCCGCGGCAAGACGGAAAGACCCCGUGAACCUUUACUAUAGCUUGACACUGAACAUUGAGCCUUGAUGUGUAGGAUAGGUGGGAGGCUUUGAAGUGUGGACGCCAGUCUGCAUGGAGCCGACCUUGAAAUACCACCCUUUAAUGUUUGAUGUUCUAACGUGGACCCGUAAUCCGGGUUGCGGACAGUGUCUGGUGGGUAGUUUGACUGGGGCGGUCUCCUCCUAAAGAGUAACGGAGGAGCACGAAGGUUGGCUAAUCCUGGUCGGACAUCAGGAGGUUAGUGCAAUGGCAUAAGCCAGCUUGACUGCGAGCGUGACGGCGCGAGCAGGUGCGAAAGCAGGUCAUAGUGAUCCGGUGGUUCUGAAUGGAAGGGCCAUCGCUCAACGGAUAAAAGGUACUCCGGGGAUAACAGGCUGAUACCGCCCAAGAGUUCAUAUCGACGGCGGUGUUUGGCACCUCGAUGUCGGCUCAUCACAUCCUGGGGCUGAAGUAGGUCCCAAGGGUAUGGCUGUUCGCCAUUUAAAGUGGUACGCGAGCUGGGUUUAGAACGUCGUGAGACAGUUCGGUCCCUAUCUGCCGUGGGCGCUGGAGAACUGAGGGGGGCUGCUCCUAGUACGAGAGGACCGGAGUGGACGCAUCACUGGUGUUCGGGUUGUCAUGCCAAUGGCACUGCCCGGUAGCUAAAUGCGGAAGAGAUAAGUGCUGAAAGCAUCUAAGCACGAAACUUGCCCCGAGAUGAGUUCUCCCUGAGACUUAG
rnacentral:rRNA from 1 species